rnacentral:rRNA from 1 species
GAUGAACGCUGGCGGCGCGCCUAACACAUGCAAGUCGAACGAGUGGCGAACGGGUGAGUAACACGUGACCAACCCGCCCCCCCCACCGGGACAACCUCGGGAAACCGCGGCUAAUACCGGAUAGGCGGGGACGGGGUCGCGGCCCAUCAGGUAGACGGCGGGGCGAAGGCCCGCCGUGCCGACGACGGGUAGCCGGGCUGAGAGGCCGAUCGGCAGAAUGGGGAGGGAGGCACGGCCCGGACUCCUGCGGGAGGGAGCGGUGGGGAAUAUGGGGCAAGGGGGGAAACCCUGGCGGGGCGACGCCGCGGGCGGGAAGGAGGGCUGCGGGUCGUAAACCGAUGUCAGCAGGGAAGCGGUACCUGCAGAAGAAGCCCCGGCUAACUACGUGCCAGCAGCCGCGGUAAUAC